CUUUCCUCAAGAUUCAUACUGAGCUUGUAAGGGAACUUGAGAAGAAGUUCAGCGGGAAGGUAAAAUAUUGACAUUUUGCUAACAUUAUUAUUUAUAGAGGUAUACAAAAGACUCGGAUUAGGUCAAUUAGCUUAUUGCUAACAUAUUUGGCACAGGCACUGGUGUGAGGAAGUUUUAAUUUGGAAAUAUCUUUUCAAUGUCUUG
rnacentral:lncRNA from 1 species